UCCCUGGUGGUCCAGCGGUUAGGACUCUGUGCUUCCACUGCAGGGGGCAUGGGUUUGAUCCCCUGUUGGGGAA
rnacentral:tRNA from 1 species